AUUGAACGCUGGCGGAAUGCUUUACACAUGCAAGUCGAACGAUGAACCUUAGCUUGCUAAGGGGAUUAGUGGCGAACGGGUGAGUAAUAUAUCGGAACGUGCCUUGUAAUGGGGGAUAACUAGUCGAAAGAUUAGCUAAUACCGCAUACGCCCUGAGGGGGAAAGUAGGGGAUCUUCGGACCUUACGUUAUAAGAGCGGCCGAUAUCUGAUUAGCUAGUUGGUGGGGUAAUGGCCUACCAAGGCGACGAUCAGUAGCUGGUCUGAGAGGACGACCAGCCACACUGGAACUGAGACACGGUCCAGGCUCCUACGGGAGGCAGCAGUGGGGAAUUUUGGACAAUGGGCGCAAGCCUGAUCCAGCCAUUCCGCGUGAGUGAAGAAGGCCUUCGGGUUGUAAAGCUCUUUCGCAAGGGAAGAAAACUUACCAUCGAAUAAAUGGUGAGGCUGACGGUACCUUGAUAAGAAGCACCGGCUAACUACGUG
rnacentral:rRNA from 1 species